rnacentral:rRNA from 1 species
GACACGGUCCAGACUCCUACGGGAGCAGCAGUGGGGAAUUUUGGACAAUGGGGGCAACCCUGAUCCAGCCAUGCCGCGUGAGUGAAGAAGGCCUUCGGGAUGUAAAGCUCUUUCGGCCGGGAAGAAAUCGCAUGGGCCAAUACCCUGUGUGGAUGACGGUACCGGAAUAAGAAGCACCGGCUAACUACGUGCCAGCAGCCGCGGUAAUACGUAGGGUGCGAGCGUUAAUCGGAAUUACUGGGCGUAAAGCGUGCGCAGGCGGUUUUGUAAGACAGGCGUGAAAUCCCCGGGCUCAACCUGGGAACUGCGUUUGUGACUGCAAGGCUAGAGUACGGCAGAGGGGGGUGGAAUUCCACGUGUAGCAGUGAAAUGCGUAGAGAUGUGGAGGAACACCAAUGGCGGAGGCAGCCCCCUGGGUCGAUACUGACGCUCAUGCACGAAAGCGUGGGUAGCAAACAGGAUUAGAUACCCUGGUAGUCCACGCCCUAAACUAUGUCAACUAGGUGUUGGGUGGGUAAAACCAUUUAGUACCGUAGCUAACGCGUGAAGUUGACCGCCUGGGGAGUACGGCCGCAAGGUUAAAACUCAAAGGAAUUGACGGGGACCCGCACAAGCGGUGGAUGAUGUGGAUUAAUUCGAUUCAACGCGAAAAACCUUACCUACCCUUGACAUGCCAGGAACUUGCCAGAGAUGGCUUGGUGCCCGAAAGGGAGCCUGGACACAGGUGCUGCAUGGCUGUCGUCAGCUCGUGUCGUGAGAUGUUGGGUUAAGUCCCGCAACGAGCGCAACCCUUGUCGUUAAUUGCCAUCAUUUAGUUGGGCACUUUAGCGAGACUGCCGGUGACAAACCGGAGGAAGGUGGGGAUGACGUCAAGUCCUCAUGGCCCUUAUGGGUAGGGCUUCACACGUCAUACAAUGGUCGGUACAAAGGGUCGCCAAGCCGCGAGGUGGAGCCAAUCCCAGAAAGCCGAUCGUAGUCCGGAUUGCAGGCUGCAACUCGCCUGCAUGAAGUCGGAAUCGCUAGUAAUCGUGGACCAGCAUGUCACGGUGAAUACGUUCCCGGGUCUUGUACACACCGCCCGUCACACCAUGGGAGCGGGUUCCGCCAGAAGUAGGUAGCCUAACCGCAAGGAGGGCGCUUACCACGGCGGGGUUCGUGACUGGGGUGAAGUCGUAACAAGGUAGCCGUAGGGGAACCUGCGGCUG